rnacentral:rRNA from 1 species
ACAUCCAGCGAACUUGGCAGAGAUGCCUUGGUGCCUUCGGGAACGCUGAGACAGGUGCUGCAUGGCUGUCGUCAGCUCGUGUUGUGAAAUGUUGGGUUAAGUCCCGNAACGAGCGCAACCCUUAUCCUUUGUUGCCAGCGAUUCGGUCGGGAACUCAAAGGAGACUGCCGGUGAUAAACCGGAGGAGGGUGGGGAUGACGUCAAGUCAUCAUGGCCCUUACGAGUAGGGCUACACACGUGCUACAAUGGCGCAUACAAAGAGAAGCGACCUCGCGAGAGCAAGCGGACCUCAUAAAGUGCGUCGUAGUCCGGAUCGGAGUCUGCAACUCGACUCCGUGAAGUCGGAAUCGCUAGUAAUCGUGGAUCAGAAUGCCACGGUGAAUACGUUCCCGGGCCUUGUACACACCGCCCGUCACACCAUGGGAGUGGGUUGCAAAAGAAGUAGGUAGCUUAACCUUCGGGAGGGCGCUUACCAUUUGUGAUUCAUGACUGGGGUGAAGUCGUAACAAGGUAAGCGUAGCGAG